CCACCCUUGUAUGUUUGAUGUUCUAACUUAGCCCCGUUAUCCGGGGUGAGGACAGUGCCUGGUGGGUAGUUUGACUGGGGCGGUCUCCUCCCAAAGAGUAACGGAGGAGCACGAAGGUGGGCUAAUCACGGUUGGACAUCGUGAGGUUAGUGCAAUGGCAUAAGCCCGCUUAACUGCGAGAAUGACGGUUCGAGCAGGUGCGAAAGCAGGUCAUAGUGAUCCGGUGGUUCUGUAUGGAAGGGCCAUCGCUCAACGGAUAAAAGGUACUCCGGGGAUAACAGGCUGAUACCGCCCAAGAGUUCAUAUCGACGGCGGUGUUUGGCACCUCGAUGUCGGCUCAUCACAUCCUGGGGCUGAAGUCGGUCCCAAGGGUAUGGCUGUUCGCCAUUUAAAGUGGUACGCGAGCUGGGUUUAGAACGUCGUGAGACAGUUCGGUCCCUAUCUGCCGUGGGCGUUGGAAGAUUGAAGGGGGCUGCUCCUAGUACGAGAGGACCGGAGUGGACGAACCUCUGGUGUUCGGGUUGUGUCGCCAGACGCAUUGCCCGGUAGCUAAGUUCGGAAUCGAUAACCGCUGAAAGCAUCUAAGCGGGAAGCGAGC
rnacentral:rRNA from 1 species